UGAUCGAUGUAUUUGUGGAGGUAUCUCUAAAAUGACGUACGAAAUGAAAUCAUCAGAGCUAGAGAGUGAUAAGUAUGAGUUAGAAUUUAAUUUGCGUGAAUUAGAAAAAGAAAAUGUAGAUCUGUCAGAACGAGUAUCAGGAUUGGAAGCUCAACUAAGGCAUUUGACUGAUGCAAUGGAAUUCAAUCGUUUGGAACUGCAGCAUUCUGGUAAUCGUGUUGUGAGCCUUGAGAGCAAGAUUAGAAAAUUAGAACAUCAAAAGGAGUCACAAAAG
rnacentral:misc_RNA from 1 species